GCAGCCUGAUGCAGCCAUGCCGCGUGUGUGAAGAAGGCCUUCGGGUUGUAAAGCACUUUCAGUCAGGAGGAAAGGCUAGUAGUUAAUAGCUGCUAGCUGUGACGUUACUGACAGAAGAAGCACCGGCUAACUCCGUGCCAGCAGCCGCGGUAAUACGGAGGGUGCGAGCGUUAAUCGGAAUUACUGGGCGUAAAGCGUACGCAGGCGGUUUGUUAAGCGAGAUGUGAAAGCCCCGGGCUCAACCUGGGAACUGCAUUUCGAACUGGCAGACUAGAGUGUGAUAGAGGGUGGUAGAAUUUCAGGUGUAGCGGUGAAAUGCGUAGAGAUCUGAAGGAAUACCGAUGGCGAAGGCAGCCACCUGGGUCAACACUGACGCUCAUGUACGAAAGCGUGGGGAGCAAACGGGAUUAGAUACCCCGGUAGUCCACGCCGUAAACGAUGUCUACUAGAAGCUGGGGUCUUCGGACAACUUUUUCAAAGCUAACGCAUUAAGUAGACCGCCUGGGGAGUACGGCCGCAAGGUUAAAACUCA
rnacentral:rRNA from 1 species